rnacentral:lncRNA from 1 species
GAAAGAAGUCGAAUUUGGGAAGGUGUGGAUCCUCGAUCCGAGUUUUGAAAUGGAGUUUCGAUUUGGUGAGCAGAAGAAAGCGGAACAGAAGAGGAGACCUUUAUCCUGUGUCGAAGGUUGGGUGUGAUUUUCACACUUUCUCAUUAUUUUAGGAUGGACAAGGUCAGAAUUAAAAAAGCUAUUUACGUAGGCGCUCGCGGCUUUCCGCUUUCAAUUGGAAGGGCAUCUUUCUGUUGCCGGAAAGGUCAACCUCAAAAAAAUGUAAAUAGGGUCAGCUGCUAGCUCUAACCGAACUUUCGGUAUAUAAGUCCGACGAAAGACAACCCGCUUCUCGAAGGCGAGGAAGAACCGACUUCAAGCAAGCGGUGCACUUUUUUCUAAAUAGGGUGGUAUGGGUGGGGAAGGAAGGAAAGAAGGGCAAGUCAGCUAGAAAUUGCG